rnacentral:rRNA from 1 species
CCUACGGGUGGCAGCAGUGGGGAAUCUUGCGCAAUGGGCGAAAGCCUGACGCAGCAACGCCGCGUGAGUGAUGAAGGUCUUUGGAUCGUAAAGCUCUUUCGGCUGGGAAGAAACGCCUUGCAGCGAAUACCUGCAGGGUUUGACGGUACCAGCAGAAGAAGCACCGGCUAACUCUGUGCCAGCAGCCGCGGUAAUACAGAGGGUGCAAGCGUUGUUCGGAAUUAUUGGGCGUAAAGCGAGUGUAGGCGGGAUGGCAAGUCGGGUGUGAAAGCCCUCAGCUCAACUGAGGAAGUGCGCCCGAAACUGCCGUUCUUGAGUGUCGGAGAGGGUGACGGAAUUCCCGGUGUAGAGGUGAAAUUCGUAGAUAUCGGGAGGAACACCAGAGGCGAAGGCGGUCACCUGGACGAACACUGACGCUGAGACUCGAAAGCGUGGGUAGC